UACGAAGGGGGCUAGCGUUGCUCGGAUUGACUGGGCGUAAAGGGCGCGUAGGCGGAUAGUACAGUCAGGCGUGAAAUUCCUGGGCUCAACCUGGGGGCUGCGUUUGAUACGUGUUGUCUGGAGUUCGGAAGAGGGUCGUGGAAUUCCCAGUGUAGAGGUGAAAUUCGUAGAUAUUGGGAAGAACAUCGGUGGCGAAGGCGGCGACCUGGUCCGAUACUGACGCUGAGGCGCGAAAGCGUGGGGAGCAAACAGG
rnacentral:rRNA from 1 species